GUGAGAAUCUGCCUCUUAGUCGGGGACAACAGUUGGAAACGACUGCUAAUACCGGAUGAGCUGAGAAGUAAAAGAUUUAUUGCUAAGAGAGGAGCUCGCGUCUGAUUAGCUAGAUGGUGGUGUAAUGGACUACCAUGGCGACGAUCAGUAGCUGGUCUGAGAGGAUGAGCAGCCACACUGGGACUGAGACACGGCCCAGACUCCUACGGGAGGCAGCAGUGGGGAAUUUUCCGCAAUGGGCGAAAGCCUGACGGAGCAAUACCGCGUGAGGGAGGAAGGCUCUUGGGUUGUAAACCUCAAAACUUAGGGAAGAAGAAAGUGACGGUACCUAAUAUAAGCAUCGGCUAACUCCGUGCCAGCAGCCGCGGUAAUACGGAGGAUGCAAGCGUUAUCCGGAAUCAUUGGGCGUAAAGAGUCCGUAGGUGGCAAUUCAAGUCUGCUGUCAAAGACCGAAGCUCAACUUCGGGUAGGCGGUGGAAACUGAAGAGCUAGAGUAUAGUAGGGGUAGAGGGAAUUCCUAGUGUAGCGGUGAAAUGCGUAGAGAUUAGGAAGAACACCAGUGGCGAAGGCGCUCUACUGGGCAUAUACUGACACUGAGGGACGAAAGCUAGGGUAGCGAAAGGGAUUAGAUACCCCUGUAGUCCUAGCGGUAAACGAUGGAUACUAAGUGUUGUCUGUAUCGACCCAGACAGUGCUGAAGCAAACGCGUUAAGUAUCCCGCCUGGGGAGUACGCACGCAAGUGUG
rnacentral:rRNA from 1 species